CCCCACAUAGCUCAGUGGUAGAGCAUCUGCCUUGCAAGCAGAAGGUCCCAGGUUCAAUCCCCAGCAUCUCCUAGCAGGGU